UACAUGGGGUGCAAACGUUGCUCGGAAUUAUUGGGCGUAAAGCGCGCGUAGGCGGUUACUCAAGUCGGAUGUGAAAGCCCUCGGCUUAACUGAGGAAGUGCACCCGAAACUGAGUAGCUAGAGUACUAAAGAGGGUCGCGGAAUUCCCGGUGUAGAGGUGAAAUGCGCAGAUAUCGGGAAGAACACCCGUGGCGAAGGCGGUUCUCUGGGACGGUACUGACGCUGAGACGCGAAAGCGUGGGGAGCAAACAGG
rnacentral:rRNA from 1 species